CCCAGCUACUUGAGAAGCUGAAGUAGGAGGAUCACUUGAGCCUGAAAGAAUUGAGGCUGCAAUGAGCUGUUAUCAUGCCCUAGGUCCCUUGGGUUUCUAAGUUAGAUACAUGCAAUCAGCAUACCCAAAUCCUUAGCCCUGCACUGUCAGACUAUAUUUAAUAUAUCUAAGGCUCUAGACAGCAGUGAGAAAAAGCUUUGAGGUUGGAGCACCAAUUAGGAAGGUGAGGAGACUAGGGCAUAAAGAGGAAAUCAGAUCUGCUAGACAAGACAUUACAUAGGCUUAAUAGGGACCUAUUUUUGCUUCUGAGACAUGAUGUCUCUUGUGGUGAAGACCUGAACUAAUUAUCAAAAUGGAGGGAAAUAUAAUUUCUAGUAUUUGGAAGCUGUCCACGAUCCCAUGGUUCUCUGUAUAAUUCAUAUGAUUCUAAAUAUAAAACUACAUUGAAAGUAUUCUAAUGCUUCAGGAAAUUGAAAGUAAUUUUGAAAACCUUUCUCCUUUCUAGUUGCAGAAGUCUCAGAAGUUUUUAUUUUGAGAAUUGACACUUUACCUUCCCGUGGCCUUGAAGAGGAAGGAGAGGAAGGACAGCAGGGUUACCUCACCAGUCCAGCUCCAGCACCCCCUCACCCCCUUCCCAGGUACCUGUCUGACUGCAGCAGGAGAUUCUAGCACAGAGGGUGCCAGCAAGCAGGGGUGCCCAGAGGGUUUCUCAUUUGAAAGGUGUUUACUGUUAGGGGAGAGUGGGAGGACAGACGGGACAGGCACGGGUGGGCAGAGCAUAGGUACUAGGAAUCUGCAAACCACAGACAAGAAGAAAGUGAAAGUAAAGACCUGAGGGUUUGCUGUAAGCUGCAUUAGCAGGAGGAGCACUGGGCCUGUGGGAGUGGACACGUGUGUCUCCUUCCAGGGGCUUCUGCCACAGCCUCAGCCCCAGACAUCUCAAGGCUCAGUAUGUGUGUCUGUCUGCCAGUGCACCCCAGGGGGGCCUCACAGUGAGGCUUCCUCUGCCUGGGUUCCUCCUGGCAUGGGCUUCAGUUUUCCCCUCAACCCUGCAGCCUACCAGAAGACACAAGCCAAAGCUGGUAGGGACCUCCACUCUGGGUACUGUCCCUGCCCAUCCCCUCUGGCAGUUGCUUUCCUAAUUGAAGGGUACAGGUGAAGUGCUCAGGAUGUUCUUGGUGGGCGUAUUUCCUCCGGGGGGGGUGGCAUAAAAACCACAGCCUUUUAGAAGCCUCUGUUUCUUUCCUUGACUGGCACUUUAAAAGGUGUGUGCUCUACUACCCUUAUCAGUAGGAGAGGGAGGCUCUGUGAUCCUCCUUUAUUCUCCCAUCUUUCCACCGGGGUCUAAUACAUUUAACAAGCCUAUGAAAAGGCUGCCUACCUCAUGCCAUUUUCUGACUGUUAUUCAAAGUGAAGGACAUCUGAAAAAAGGUAUUACAUUACCUACAGCCUGGGGCGGAGGGGGGAGGGAAUAAUUUAGUACAAGGAAUUAGGAGGCAUUUCUUCUCUUUUGACAGGCUGAAAGGCUUCCUAGGUGAGGAGAGAUUUCCAUCGCUGGUUGAAGGAAGGGAAAAGGCUGAGUGGGAGGUGCAAGGGCUGCUAAUCUGAAAAUUACCGGAAUUUCCUCAAUUUCCAGUCUUCAGAAAAUGCCUGCUGCACAAGGAGAGGGUGGUGAGAAUCCAGUGAGAUAAUCCUCAUGGAAGGGUUUGGAGAACCUUCGAAUACUUCCCCGGAGUGAGGGGCAAUGACAAUUCGAGUCCACGAUUAGAAAAAAAAAAAAAAUGGCCCUUAUCACUAGAAGAAUUCACAAAGAGGCUGGGUGAGCCUGUGCCAGGGUGAUGAGUGGGAGAACCCACUCUGGGUGGGGGAUGGACCAGCUGGCCCGUAAGGCCUGUCUCCCCCUGGCCCCUAAGGCCUGUCUCCCAACUUCCAUGUGCCCUUGUCACAGGGACCCUGAUAAAAGCUCCCACUGUGCCUGGGUUUCUGUUGUGCUCAGAGGAGGGAAGAAACAAUGAGCUCAGCUUGGCCAGAGGACAGGGCUCAUUUUGCUCUGUCACUUGCAGAGGCCUCUCCCCAAGCAGCAAACUACCAGGCAGGAGCAGCCACAUUGUCUGUGUGGCCCAGUACAAAAUGAAAAUGCAACUCCCUGUUCAAAGAGCAUUACGAAUUUCAAGUUGGCAACAGAAGAGCAGUAAAACACAAGCACCUCAUGAAGCCUGCCCUGUCACGAGGACCAUGAAGGAGGAAAUGAGGAAUGGGAAGGAGCCAGGCCCGUGGAGGUGGUCCAUGUCCCCUCAUUGUCCCUCCUGCCAAGGCACUGCACAGGAUGCUCUUAGAGAGGAGGAGAUGAGAGUAGCAAACUGUAGGGUGUGGAAGCUUAGCCCGCCAAGGCAUCCCAGAAUUGUGCCCUGAAGUCGAGGAGACCAGGCAUCCACCGACCAUCCCCUGGUGAUUAAGGGCUGCCCCUGCAGUGGGUGGAAAAGGCUCCCGUGGCACCAGAGAAGCCACAAGGCCCAAAGCUGAAAGGCUCAAGGUGUGGGAAAGAUGAUGCCCGGGGCGAGCGUGAGUCCCAUGGAGCAGGAGCCACCUGCCACAGGACAGCUGAGCACUGAGCCAAGGGAACAUGGCCAGGGGCACCUAAGACAUCUGCACAGGGGCCACCAGACUUCCUGAGGAACCAACCUCCCAGGGCAGCAUGGGGUGGGACCGCAAGGUCUGUGGACAAAAUAACAUUUGCACUGCUCUGUGAAUUAACGUGACCUUCCUUGCCUCAAUGA